rnacentral:lncRNA from 1 species
AUUAUUAUAUAUCCAUAAUAACCACAUAAUAACAUAUAAUCAUUAUUUUAAGAAACUGAUAACGAUUACUAGUGAAAAUAUCAUUAUCAUUUCUUAGAUUAAUCCCAGUUUAUAAUUAUCUAUAGGGUUAUUCCAUAUCAACUGACUUUGGGUCCCUGCUUGAUCCUCUUCAAUUUUGCUGAAACUUUAUGAAUAUGCAUAGAAAAUUUCAGAGGAAGCUGAAUAAAAAUUUCAGUUUAAGAAAUGGUGUGGUUGAGGCAUUGGAGGCUUUCUUGUGGAGGUCAUCUAAGAAAAGGAGUUCAAUCACAAAUAAUUUUCAAACUUUCAAAUAUGACUGUUGCAUAACCAUAACAGAUAGCAUUUUGAACCUUUAUAAGCUUAUUCAGUUUGUAUGCUAAAUCCAAAAAUUUUAUCAUCAAAGGUUGUUGGUCAUAUUUGACCAAUGUUUGAAAGCAGAUAUUUGUGUUAGACACUUCGAAUUUAAUUUUUUCUGUUAUUAUUAGAAAGAGCAGAUUUUGAACUAUAAAAAUAAUGAUUUUCCAAUUUUUUAUCUUAAAAUUCUCCAAAAUUAAGCUACUUGACAUGAUCCCAUAUGGUAUUUAAAAAUCCCUUGAAUUCCUGAUUUAGUCCAAAGUUUUGAUAAUGAUAAUAGCACUAAUUCUUUGAUCAAC